UUAUAUGGUCAAGUGACUAAGCGCAUACGGUGGAUGCCUUGGCAGUCAGAGGCGAUGAAGGACGUUGUAGCCUGCGAAAAGCUUCGGGGAGUCGGCAAACAGACUUUGAUCCGGAGAUGUCCGAAUGGGGAAACCCACCCUUAGGGGUAUCCUAUACUGAAUACAUAGGUAUAGGAGGCGAACCUGGUGAACUGAAACAUCUAAGUAACCAGAGGAAAAGAAAUCAAAUGAGAUUCCCACAGUAGCGGCGAGCGACCUGGGAGCAGCCUGCAAGUGAUAUCAGCUUGGUUAGUGGAACGGUCUGGAAAGUCCGGCAAUAGAGGGUGAUAGCCCCGUACACGAAAACCUCGCUGUGUACUAAGCUGA
rnacentral:rRNA from 1 species